rnacentral:rRNA from 1 species
CACGUAGGGGGCAAGCGUUGUCCGGAUUUAUUGGGCGUAAAGAGCUCGUAGGCGGCUCGGUAAGUCGGGUGUGAAACCUCCAGGCUCAACCUGGAGACGCCACCCGAUACUGCUGUGGCUAGAGUCCGGUAGGGGAGCGUGGAAUUCCUGGUGUAGCGGUGAAAUGCGCAGAUAUCAGGAGGAACACCAGCGGCGAAGGCGGCGCUCUGGGCCGGAACUGACGCUGAGGAGCGAAAGCGUGGGGAGCAAACAGG